UAAGGAGGGGGUUAGCGUUGUUCGGAAUUACUGGGCGUAAAGCGCGCGUAGGCGGAUCAGAAAGUUGGGGGUGAAAUCCCGGGGCUCAACCCCGGAAUUGCCUUCAAAACUCCUGGUCUUGGGUUCGAGAGAGGUGAGUGGAAUUCCGAGUGUAGAGGUGAAAUUCGUAGAUAUUCGGAGGAACACCAGUGGCGAAGGCGGCUCACUGGCUCGAAACUGACGCUGAGGUGCGAAAGCGUGGGGAGCAAACAGG
rnacentral:rRNA from 1 species